AGGAGCGCAAGACGACUUACUGGAGGAAACUCUGGAGGAAAGUCCGCCCACACAACGCGGCAGCGAUUAUCUUUAAUGAUGACGUCGCCACUGGAAAACUGGUAGCUCACAGAGAAGGAGAAAUCCUUGGCAACCACAAAGAAACGAAACCACCUUAGGAAUGGAAUGAUGCAUGCGAAGGACCGGGUGACUGGUCUGAGAUAACCUGCUGACGUCUCCAAAGGAAAGGAUGAAACGGUGAGCCCCUACUUGUGCAAGUCAUUAGACGCUCAGUUGAAUGUCGUCACCAUCCAACGCCGUGCUAGAAAAAGGCACUGUUCGGGAAGGACCAAAGGCGGCUUAUUGCGCUCCG
rnacentral:RNase_P_RNA from 1 species